CUCACACAAGCAAGACACAAACUGCAUGCAGCACACGAGCGUGAGGGAAGGAGGCGGCAGCAGGGGAUAGCUCACCUUAAAUGCGGUAUCUGAUUAAUGUUGGAAGUGACAUUGCAUUUCAGCCCCAGAGUCUUGGUUCAACUGGGUAGGAGGGAACAAAGAAAAAUGUCAUCAAGUGGUGAUGCAAGAUGAGCCCAAUCACUAACCACUGCUUAGCAAACUCCAAAUUCUGCAACCAGGCAGUCGAAGGCAUUCCAUGCACUUAAGCAGUGCGGCUGCACAGUGAAUGAAUCGUCUGCUUCUGCAAAUCCAACAGUCCUUGUGCUAAGGAAGGAAGUCAGCUGGAAUGAAUACUGUCAUAUCCUCUUCUUGGAGAAAGCUUGCAAUACAGUCCCUGCUGUCUGUCCCCCUGUUCCCACUUCCCUGGUGAGGAGGUCCCGUCACAGCACCUUUCAGGCUCCACAGACACCUCCCCUGGCUUGGAACUUCGUGAUGCUCUUCCUCGGGGUGUUUCUGCUGCUGUGACGUCAUUUGCCCAGAGGCUCUCGUUGGAGCUGAGCGGAUGUUUGAAAUGUGUUCUCAAACCUCCAGAACUAUACACUAAACGGAUAUCCUUUUUAAUGAUAUUUUUAUUUAUCAGGUGUUUUGUUAUAGCAAUACAGAAUAUGACAGUAUACUAGGUCAGGGUUACUCAACUUUUUUUUCCUGUGCAAUAAAUACCAGUCGAAUGAAUAUGUAUCAAACUAGACCCAUUUAUAUACGUAACACAUAUAAGCAGGUCUCAGGCUCUGAUGUGUAUAUGAAUAUCAAGGGCACAUUAAAAAUGUAUAUUUAUGAUAUCUGAAAGAUAGCAGGUGAAACCUAGACAUGGCUAGCCAAAGUCUCCACGGAGUGAUAUGGAUAAAUCUAAAAUGCCAGAGAUUGUGAUCAGAACUUCUGAUGUCCCUGGGACCCAUAAACACACAUUUUCAUCUGAGAAACUAAAGGGGACCAGAUUCUGGAAUAGACACUGAUGCCUUUCUGGAUCAGAAUUUACCAACUGGUAAGUUUAAAAAACAGAUUAUACAACUUCUGGGAAUUUUUCUUAAAUUGUCCACAAGGUGCCCAUCAACACCCACAGGAGUGUUUACAUAUUUAUAACAGCGGAGCACCAGAGGCAAUCAAAAUAGCCAUUAAAAAAAGAGCUCAAUUAAAAUAUGCCUGUGCAAAGAUAACAGUCAUUAAAAAUGAUAUUUUCAAAGAGUACUUGUCGAUUUGCAAAGAUGCUUACAAUAUAACUGUAAGAGGGGGACAAAAGCAACAAAACCAACAAAAACCCAACAAAAAACAACAGCCAAGACGAAAAUGACAAACUAUAUAGAGUGGAAAAAGGAGGAGAAGUGUAAUAAAGUUGAAAGUCUAGCCAAGCAUAGUCUAGCUGCAGAUGGAGGAUGCAGCCUAUCUCUGGGGGAACCCUAAACUACAUCUUUUGAAAGGCAACCCUGGGACAGCAGAGGAACUUAGGUCAAUGCUAAGGAACUUCGGUCAAUGAGAAAGGCCUUCUCACUGGCUAUUUCUUUCCUUCUGUGAUUCGUGAUGAUGAGAUUCUGGACAGACUGUGUGACCCAUUACCUCUGACAGACUGAAGAAACACAGCUCUGGGUCAGUGCCUCUAGGAUGGUCAGUGUUCAGUGUCAACUUGACAGGCUCGACCGCUACUUAGCACUUGGGCCUGCAAGGAACGUGUGAGAAACGGUCAUUUUGCAAUGUGUCUUGAUUAGGUUCAUUUUUGUGGGUAAGCCCGUCUUCAGUGUGGGCAGGACCAUUCCCUGAGUGGGGAUCCUAUACUGUAUGAAGUGGAGAAGACAUGCUGAGUGUGAACAUUCAUUGCUGUCUGCUUCCUGCUUGUGGAUGGGCCCUGUACGGCUACUUCAAGCUCUUGUUGCGGUGACUUUCCUACCAUAUUGGACCAUCCCAGACUGCGAGCCAAACUCAACCCCUUCUUCCCGAAGUUGUAUUCACCAGAGUAUUUUAUCAUAGCAACAAAAAAGUGACUAAGAUUGCGUCCAUGGAGUAGAUAUCAAGCCUCUGUUCCAAUGGGCUAGGGAUGUGUAGAAUCCCAGGAAUCACCUUUUGGCACACAGAGAACUCAACUGGUUUCUCUCAAAGAUUUUACUGAAGCCUUUUGGGCCUCUCGUCCAGUCAGACCUUAUCAAGGGGCUUGGAAAUAGUCGUACCUCAUUGGAUAGGAAUGUUGCUAAAGAUCACAGAGGAAAGGUGAUUUAGAGACUUUUUUCUUUUUUCUUUUUUUCAAAACAGUGCUACUUCCCAGCUGUCUCCAGAGCAAAGACACCAACACUGGCCCUAAGGGAGGCAACUGUUCUCACAGCGUGUUGACUUAGCCUCCGCGUUCCCGUGUCCAAACCAUUCUGCACGUAGAACCUCGCUCACUCUGUCUCACCAUUACAGUUUUGUUUUUUUGUUUUUGUUUUUAACAACAACACAAUUUUGGAAGAGGGAAAGAACUUCAAAAUUCUGGUAAAAGCCAGAGGCUUCUUGAGUGAAAAACAAAACCCCAAACUCUUUUGUGUGGUGUUUUCCAGAUUAUGACAGCUAGGGGAUUUCAGUGUGAGAAAUGACAAAGCCCAAUUACUAUGAAUUCUUAGCUUUCGUAAAUAUGACGCGAGCUUGUUGCAAAAUCCUCUAAAAGGGGUGACAGGGCCUUCAUAAUGCUGACCCAGGAAGAAGGGAGCUGACACUUCUGUGCUUUUCGAACUGCAAAGCCCCUGAGGUCAAAAUAACCAACUGGGCCAGCUGUUGCCCAUGUGAGACUGCUGUGUUCAACUUGUCAGCGUUCCUCAUGGACAAACAAGAUCAGACAAACAUCUUCAGGUGACCUAACUCCGCAUAGACUGUGGUGUCUCCAAUGUGGAUUACACAACUCAUGUAUAAUUAAAGUGGAAAAAUAAUAAACUAUGAGAUCAAAGUGGAACUAACUUACGAAAAGCCCCUUUUCUGCUGAGACCUAUUUUGAUGCCAUUUUUAAAAAAUGUCAAAUACUAAAAAUAUGAAUGUAUGCUUGUACACAAUCCUGUCUUGUGGGGUCACCAUACCUGCCAGCCUAACAGUGACAAUGGCCAUGAGGAUCUGUGGCUUUCUUUCAGACACUUCAUGUUUACUGUAGUGAAGUCCUGAUGACUCGGUUUGAUAGUCACACACCUCUCCUUGUCACAUAAUGUAGCUAGAAACAUCAGAAAUCAUUUCCUGUGUCAAACUGGUAUGCUGUGUGUGCAUGGAGGAGAUCAUAUCAGAUGGCAGCUGAAACUAACAAGCCAUGAUUAGUCAGUAUUAUGGUUAGAAUCUGAAAUGGUCCCCCCUGGGCUCCUGGGCUAUACCCAUGGACCUCAGUUGGUGAUAACACUGGGAGGUUCAGAUGGAACCUUGCUGGAAAAAAGCAGGUCAGUGAUGCCAUAUUGUCACAGCUCUGUUUGACCCUGGUCCCUCCCUAGAUCUCUUUCUGUUUUGCAUCUAUGAUGAGAAUCUCCUCCACCACACACUGUUGCUGCCAGGCUGUGAUGUUCUGCUUGGGAGCACAAACCACAAUAGCCAUAGAGUGAAUCCACUGGACCCAGGAGCCAAAAUAAAUGUAUCCUCCUUUGGUCACCC